rnacentral:sRNA from 1 species
AAUCAGACUUCAAUCAGCUACUUGUUCGCAAUUUAACGGGGCGAAUGUUUUCAUCUAUCAACUUUAUAUUUGCAUUGCGAGCUAGCAUUUGAUGUUUUGCUUCAACGUCCUCGAAAAAUCAAUCAAACAAAAACGGCCGCCCAGGGCUGCACUUUCGGGGUUGUCCUAUCACUGAAUCGAUUAGUUGUCGUUAAUAUCGAUACGGCGCGAUAUCUCACUCUACCUCCUUAAAUCUAAGCAGCAGCCAAGAAAGAGGCAAAAUCAUCAAGUAAAUAAUUACGAAACAGGGUCGCCCGCCACCCGCUCCCUUGUCACCUGAGCCUAUGCCAAUGGCAAUUAAGCGUGGGCUUCCACACACCAAAGCGACCGCAAUGUGACCUAUCCACCGACCCACCUGAAUGGACCAUACUGCCCAGGACAUUAUAGUAAUGAAGCCAGCACAGUCAAUUUCAAUAACGCAAUCAAAUGCGCGCAGUUUCAAAACCACAAAAGCCAAACAAGAAGAAGAGGAACCAAAUGCCAUUCACAAAGCCAUGGCCAAUACUCAAACAGUGUGUCCGGUCGAGGCAAUCUUUUUGGGCAUUCCUGGCACGUAUUUCCAAUGGCCAUAGCUGGAACGGGAUGUGGUACUUCUCCGAGAAAAGGAAGCCCCCGAUAAUGGCCUGGCGAGUCGCAUGCAUAUUUCAGUAAUUUGCGCCACCUUUUGUGUGGUACGGCAUUCACCUCUACCCGUGUAGUGUACACCGCCCGUGUCCCAUCCCAGUCAUUUCCGGUCUACAUAUUUCAUGAGGGCACCAAAGUUUGCGGAUGCAGCAAUUUAAAGAAAAAGCAGAGGAAACUUGAGUGGAACCACUCAAAAUGUAAUCGAAAUGUCUUAGACGCACCCCCACGCACCUGAAUAGUCGCUCUUUUAUGUGUGUUUGUGUUUGCAUCUGUAUUCAUGGCGUCUCUCGUCUCGCCCCCAAUCCCAAUCCCAGCCCAGACUCCUCUGAUGUUGGACGAAGUCAUCUUGAUUUUCAAUUUCAACGCCAUUUGCGCUUCACUGCCAUUGGAAGUCAUUUGCAUUUUUCUCCAGCUUACUGUUGCGUACCCCCAGGGGGCAUAUGCACUAGCUGGUUGGGAGGACUAACUAAUUUUUGGGUGAGUUAGAUCGGAGAACGACAUUUGCAGAUCAAAAAUAGAUUUUCAGUAAAUUCAGUUCUCUAUAGAGUUCGAUUGGUAUACAUUUAGAGGUACAACUUGUAGCUAAUACGACGCUGACGUUCCCUAAAGAGCUUCGAGCUCCUCAAGAGUAUCUAAUAUUUGGCUAGAUUUGUCCUCUCCGCGUUCUUGUUGUGUAGCCCAAUAGGUGAUAAUGCUAAUAAUAAGUCGAGUCAAUUGACAAAAAGUUUCGUCAUUUUCAAACAGCCCCCAGCCACACCCGCUGGCAAUUUGUAGACAUCCCGCAGUAAAUUUAUUGAAUGUGGAAAUUUUAAAAUUGUUCAUUUGAGAAACAAUUUGGGAGCAUAAAAUACAGACAAAAUGCCUUCGUUUUCUUAUGUCAGCAUUGUCUGCCAUAAGUUCGAAUAUAUGGCAAUAAAAAGACACUGUUGUUGUUGUUGUUAUCCUUGCUCUCUGGGGCCACCAACAACAAGCGCCCCGAGCAUUCCAAGUGAGUUUGUCUGUCUGUCUGUCUUUGUGUAUUUUUAUGUGAUUUCUCAAGCCAUCUUCUAUCUGGGGAGGAUGGAAAGUGCUCUCAUGUGCGAUUGAAUGGGAAAUGGGGAAAAUGUUAUGCCAUUUAUUUAGAGCAUUUCCAGCAGGGCAAGUCCCAGUGCCAAUUGUGCAACUUACUCAAUGAAAUGUAAAUGCGAAUCAAUUGUAGUUUUAUUUGAAGUAAUUCCUGAUUCAACAAAAUCGACUGCCAGUAAAAGCAUUUAAUUUCGAAUAUUCAAUUUCAAUUUCCAUUUGCAUAUUGCUGUGUGACUUUCAUUAGCAUCAAUUUAGUUAGUUAGUCAAAUGGUUACUUCGUUAGUUGGAGUCACUAAAAGAGUUGAGGUUCCUCUGGGGUCUGGAGUCUGCCGGGGCGAAAACAUCAAAAAGCACUUUGUGGAGGAGCAAACUUUCGGUGGUUCGGAAUACUGAUUCGUACCUGAGCAGAUGUAGAAUAUACAUAUAUAUACAUAAGCUGUACGUGAGAUCUCCCCGCUAACCAA